rnacentral:lncRNA from 1 species
CCCUCUAGUUUAGUGAAAUAUAACAUUUCAUCCCUCUAUUUUAAAAAAUCGUCAAUUUAGUCACUGUGAUUUUUAAAAAUUAUGCGAUUAGUCCCUCCCGUUAGAUUUUCAGUUAAGUCACCGUUAGUUUUAGUUAAAAUACUAAAAUACCCAUUCUUUCACCCACAUCAUCGUCAACAAUGGCAACAGAGAGUGUUUUAAGCGACAGAUUUUGAUCACAUAUUUUGCAGCAAGUGUAUUCCUCAAAUCUCAUGUCAAGCCACUAAUUCAAGAGUUAAUAAAAGAUGAAAUAAUUAGAAACUGCCAAAUCAGGAAAAUCUCUUUCCCUCGCCCAUAAACAUAAACACUUUGCUUACAAUACAAUCAAAUUGUAGCCAAAAUUAACUAGAGAUUCAAACUGAGCUAUCAAUUCCUAUUCCAACCCAACAAAUGCAAAAUACUAAAAAAGGAAUCCGCAAAAUAAUAAUUCAGAAGAACCAAACACAAAUUCAUAAAUUUGAACAUACACAAUCAAGAAUCAGCACC